rnacentral:rRNA from 1 species
UGCAGUCGAACGGUAACAGAGAGAGCUUGCUCUUUGCUGACGAGUGGCGAACGGGUGAGUAACGCGUAUGCAACCUACCUUUAACUGGGAGAUAGCCCCGAGAAAUCGGGAUUAAUACCCCAUAACAUUACGAAAACUCAUGUUUUUGUAGUUAAAGCUUCGGCGGUUAAAGAUGGGCAUGCGGGACAUUAGCUAGUUGGUGAGGUAAUAGCUCACCAAGGCUACGAUGUCUAGGGGGCCUGAGAGGGUUAUCCCCCACACUGGUACUGAGACACGGACCAGACUCCUACGGGAGGCAGCAGUGAGGAAUAUUGCGCAAUGGACGAAAGUCUGACGCAGCCAUGCCGCGUGCAGGAUGACGGCCCUACGGGUUGUAAACUGCUUUUAUAUAGGAAGAAACCCCUUUACGUGUAAAGGGCUGACGGUACUAUACGAAUAAGCACCGGCUAACUCCGUGCCAGCAGCCGCGGUAAUACGGAGGGUGCAAGCGUUAUCCGGAUUCAUUGGGUUUAAAGGGUGCGCAGGCGGUCUAUUAAGUCAGUGGUGAAAGCCUACAGCUCAACUGUAGAACUGCCAUUGAUACUGAUAGACUUGAAUGCGGUUGAAGUGGGUGGAAUGUGUAGUGUAGCGGUGAAAU